rnacentral:rRNA from 1 species
AGUGAACGCUGGCGGUAGGCCUAACACAUGCAAGUCGAACGGCAGCACAGGAGAGCUUGCUCUCUGGGUGGCGAGUGGCGGACGGGUGAGGAAUACAUCGGAAUCUACCUUUUCGUGGGGGAUAACGUAGGGAAACUUACGCUAAUACCGCAUACGACCUACGGGUGGAAGUGGGGGACCGCAAGGCCUCACGCGAUUAGAUGAGCCGAUGUCCGAUUAGCUAGUUGGCGGGGUAAUGGCCCACCAAGGCGACGAUCGGUAGCUGGUCUGAGAGGAUGAUCAGCCACACUGGAACUGAGACACGGUCCAGACUCCUACGGGAGGCAGCAGUGGGGAAUAUUGGACAAUGGGCGCAAGCCUGAUCCAGCCAUACCGCGUGGGUGAAGAAGGCCUUCGGGUUGUAAAGCCCUUUUGUUGGGAAAGAAAUCCUGUCGAUUAAUACUCGGUGGGAUGACGGUACCCAAAGAAUAAGCACCGGCUAACUUCGUGCCAGCCGCCGCGGUAAAAC